rnacentral:misc_RNA from 1 species
GAUGAAGAACGCAGCGAAAUGCGAUAAGUAAUGUGAAUUGCAGAAUUCAGUGAAUCAUCGAAUCUUUGAACGCACCUUGCGCCCUUUGGCCAUUCCGAAGGGCAUGCCUGUUUGAGUAUCAUGAACACCUCAACUCUCAUGGCUUGCCAUGAUGAGCUUGGACUUUGGGGGUCUUGCUGGCCUGUGGUCGGCUCCUCUCAAAUGAAUCAGCUUGCCAGUGUUUGGUGGCAUCACAAGUGUGAUAACUAUCUGCGCUCGUGGUUUCCAUCAGAUAACCUCCAGUGAUGGAGGUUCGCUGGAGCUCAUAAAUGUCUCUCCUAAGCGAGGACAGCUCUUUUAAUGUUUGAUCUCAAAUCAGGUAGGACUACCCGCUGAACUUAAGCAUAUCAAUAAGCGGACGA